GACGAACGCUGGCGGCGUGCUUAACACAUGCAAGUCGAACGGUGAAGCUCCAGCUUGCUGGAGUGGAUCAGUGGCGAACGGGUGAGUAACACGUGAGCAACCUGCCCCUGACUCUGGAAUAAGCGCUGGACACGGCGUCUAAUACUGGAUACGAGAAGGGUCCGCAUGGGCACUUUCUGGUAAGUUUUUUGGUUGGGGAUGGGGUCGCGUCCUAUCAGCUUGUUGGUGAGGUAAUGGCUCACCAAGGCCACGACGGGUAGCCGGCCUGGGAGGGCGACCGGCCACACAGGGACGGAGACAGGGCCCAGACUGCAACGGGAGGCAGGAGUGGGGAAGAUUGAACAAAGGGCGAAAGACUGAUGCAGCGACGAAGGGUGAGGGAGGACGGCCUGCGGGUUGUAAACAACGUUCAGCAGGGAAGAAGCGAAAGGGACGGUACCUGCAGAAGAAGCACCGGCUAACUACGU
rnacentral:rRNA from 1 species